rnacentral:lncRNA from 1 species
CCCCUCCCUAUCUGCCUCUUCAAGCCACUAAACUCCAGACCAUCAGACUCUCAGAGAGCCGUUAAUGUGCACAGACUCACACGGCAACCUUCAUGACUGUUCAGCCUCGACCUUUUGAACCUGACCCUCAGUGUGGGUAUCUGCGAACAUGGCUUUUGUCAACUGCCUAAGAGCACUCAUCAACCAGGCUAAGCUGACCUGCUGUCGUGUCCAGAGAUCAGUUCAAGGCGAGCUGUUCUAGAACCCUUUGACCUCUACCCUCUCCAUGCAGCGAUCUACUGUGGUUGUCACCCAGUUGCAUUUUAGGAAAGUCAUGGUAGUCUCCAGUCUUUGGAUCACGUGACACAGAAAGUAGAUCAUACUAUUUAUAACACACCUCAGAUGGCCUGGUAGAUGUGUAAUUAUUCCCCACAGACUGUGAGGCACAGGGGUUCCUAUGUGCCAUAGGAGCCACUCUCUGGAAGUGCAUGCUAUGAAAAACACAAAUAGAAAUAAAAUGG